ACGCCUGCACAUGAAGAGAAGUAAAAUACAUUUUAUUAUCAUUCAAAGACAUGAGAAUUUUAUAUAAUUCUAAUAAACGAAAUAUCAGUUCUGAAAUGAUAUAGCAAAUGUUAUUUCUGAAGGCCGGAAAUCUGACUUUAUAGCCAUUAUGAAAGCCCCCUCUAGCCAAUCAGGAAGCAGGACGGUGUAAAUGCAGCUACAACACCUUAACCUACGUAACACUGUUUAAAUCAACACUCAGCAGUCAACAUGUGGGACGUGUAAUAAAUCAGACUGCACUGAUUUCACUGUUCACACAUGGGAUCGGACGUGUUUUCGUGGCCUGCUGCUCCACCUGUUGAAAGAUUGUGCAGUGUGCGACCCCCAAAGGUCACCCGCAGGCAUGUACCGCACACACCCCUGAACACAACUCUGCCUGGUGACACUGUAAGAGUGUUGAGGCUGAACUUUGGCCAAACAAGAAGUCCCUUUGAAAAAAUGCUGAAGGACGAAGGUGUUUGUUGUUUCACAGAAUGUAAAGACUGAAAACACAGUGUAGCAGAAACAUGAGCUCACUGAGGUUAAACCUGAGGGCUGAGUCUCAGUUACAACACGUGGGAUGUCGCACGUUUCCAUGUACGGGGAACUAAUUAACCUGGUGUCCUUCACCUAACAACUCAGGUCCUCCUCAAUCACAGGAGUCUCACCUCUCAG